rnacentral:rRNA from 1 species
UACGGGGGGGGGCAAGCGUUGUUCGGAAUUACUGGGCGUAAAGGGCUCGUAGGUGGCCAACUAAGUCAGACGUGAAAUCCCUCGGCUUAACCGGGGAACUGCGUCUGAUACUGGAUGGCUUGAGAUUGGGAGAGGGACGCGGAAUUCCAGGUGUAGCGGUGAAAUGCGUAGAUAUCUGGAGGAACACCGGUGGCGAAGGCGGGUCUCUGGGCCGAUACUGACGCUGAGGAGCGAAAGCGUGGGGAGCGAACAGG